CUUUGAGUCUGAGUUUUGAUUUGAGCUAUUUGGGUUUCGAUUUGCAUUUGGCUUUGGCAUUGAGUUCUGAUGUGUUCUUUGGGUUUGAGUUUUGAUCUGAGUUAUUUGAGUCUGGAUUUGGGUUUGGCUUUGGGUUCAGAUUAGAGUUGGGAUUUGAGCUGGGAUUUGAGCUUUGAUUUAUUUGGAUUUGAAUUUGGGUUAUUUGGGUUUGGAUCUGAGUUUGGGUUUGUGUUAUUUGGGUUCAAGUUUUGAUUUGAGUUAAUUAGGUCUGGGUUUGGGUUUGAGUUUGGAUUUGGAUUUAGGUUUGGCUUUGGGUUUGAACUUGAAUUGGGAUUUGAGUUAUUUAGCUUUGGCUUCGUGUUAUUUGGAUUUGGGUUUGAGUUUAGGUUUGGAUAUGGGUUUGGGUUUAGGUUUGGGUUCAGAUUGGCUUUGGGUUUCAGUUAUUUGGGUGUGACUUUGGCUUUGGGUUUGGGUUAUUUGGGUUUGACUGUGGUUUGGGAUUUGGGUUUCAGUUAUUUGGGUUUGAAUUUGGGUUUGGGUUUGGUUUUGGAUUUGGGUUUGCCCUUCCCUUUAGGGUGGGCCAUUGCUGAAGGCAGCAACCCUUAAAUAUCCGACCAAAUCUCUGUUGUGAUUAGCUGUGCUCCUAAAUGAUUUAUAAUCAGCAUAACACAAUAACGACAACGACUCCCUAAUCAGAUUACCCCGCUCUCCAUUUGUCUGGGGCUUUGUGCUCUAAUCUCUUCUCCCCUCUCUCUGCCAUCCAUUUGUGUUUGCUCAUCUCAUGCUCUACACACUCCCAUGCUGAGCACUGCAAAGGGGUUUUCCAGCCUUUGCAUCCCCCUUUUCCGUGCCUUUCAUCCCAGCCCACACGUCAUUUUCCACCCAAAAAGGGGAGCGAGCAACCUGGAGAGGAUAUCAGAGUCCGAAGGUGUUACCACUCCUCCACUUAAUGAAGAAAAAUCACGAUGGAGGCGGCCGGAGGCAACGCAAUGGGAUUGCAGCGGGGAGGAGAGGACUGUGUUAACACCCAUUAAUAAUAAAUAACCGCCAUAAUGAGCUCUAAUUAAUUUGGUCACACGUUAGAGAUCGCUUCCUUCUUUUUUAAGCUUGUAGGUUUUUCUGUGCCGGAGCAUCCCUGCGCCCUGGCUGUUCCCAGCCCCUUCCAUUCAACGUGUGAUAGAUGGAUUGAUACGCAGCUUUAAUCAGUGUAAUAUAUAAAGCACUUAAUUUGCCUUAUUAAAAGUCUG
ensembl:lncRNA